UACGUAGGGUGCAAGCGUUGUCCGGAAUCAUUGGGCGUAAAGCGCGCGUAGGUGGCUUCGUAAGUCCGUUGUGAAAGUCAAAGGCUCAACCUUUGAAUGCCGAUGGAUACUGCGAAGCUAGAGUACGGAAGAGGCGAGUGGAAUUCCUGGUGUAGCGGUGGAAUGCGCAGAUAUCAGGAGGAACAUCGGUGGCGAAGGCGCUCUGCUGGACCAUAACUGACACUCAGGGACGAAAGCUAGGGGAGCGAAUGGG
rnacentral:rRNA from 1 species